rnacentral:rRNA from 1 species
CUGGAAAGGCGCGCGAUACAGGGUGACAGCCCCGUACACAAAAGCGCAUAUGCUGUGAGCUCGAUGAGUAGGGCGGGACACGUGGUAUCCUGUCUGAAUAUGGGGGGACCAUCCUCCAAGGCUAAAUACUCCUGACUGACCGAUAGUGAACCAGUACCGUGAGGGAAAGGCGAAAAGAACCCCGGCGAGGGGAGUGAAAAAGAACCUGAAACCGUGUACGUACAAGCAGUGGGAGCC